GCGGACGGGGAGCAGCCCAGAGCCUGAAUCAGUGUGUGUGUUAGUGGAAGCGUCUGGAAAGGCGUGCGAUACAGGGUGACAGCCCCGUACACAAAAAUGCACAUAUUGUGAGCUUGAUGAGUAGGGCGGGACACGUGGUAUCCUGUCUGAAUAUGGGGGGACCAUCCUCCAAGGCUAAAUACUCCUGACUGACCGAUAGUGAACCAGUACCGUGAGGGAAAGGCGAAAAGAACCCCGGCGAGGGGAGUGAAAAAGAACCUGAAACCGUGUACGUACAAGCAGUGGGAGCACGCUUAGGCGUGUGACUGCGUACCUUUUGUAUAAUGGGUCAGCGACUUAUAUUCUGUAGCAAGGUUAACCGAAUAGGGGAGCCGAAGGGAAACCGAGUCUUAACUGGGCGUUAAGUUGCAGGGUAUAGACCCGAAACCCGGUGAUCUAGCCAUGGGCAGGUUGAAGGUUGGGUAACACUAACUGGAGGACCGAACCGACUAAUGUUGAAAAAUUAGCGGAUGACUUGUGGCUGGGGGUGAAAGGCCAAUCAAACCGGGAGAUAGCUGGUUCUCCCCGAAAGCUAUUUAGGUAGCGCCUCGUGAAUUCAUCUCCGGGGGUAGAGCACUGUUUCGGCA
rnacentral:rRNA from 1 species